AGCCAUGGCGACAUCCUCGGCCGCGCUGCCCCGAAUACUCGGCGCGGGUGCCCGGGCCCCGUCGCGCUGGUUGGGCUUCCUCGGGAAGGCGACCCCCCGGCCUGCUCGGCCGAGCCGCAGGACGCUUGGAAGCGCGACGGCCCUUAUGAUCCGCGAGUCCGAGGACAGCACCGAUUUCAACGACAAGAUUUUGAAUGAGCCCCUCAAGCACUCUGACUUCUUCAGUGUCAAGGAACUGUUUUCCGUGAGAAGCCUCUUCGAUGCCCGAGUCCAUCUGGGACACAAAGCUGGCUGUCGGCACAGAGCACCCCGCUAAGUCCAACCCCAGAGGGGCCUCGUCCGCAAAGCCUCGGGAAGAGGAGAGUGGCAGAGGCGGCUGCCCUGUGAGCUGCACGGGGCAGAAUGUCCUUUUGGCGUCAUGUUGGAUGUCCACACAUCCAUAUGGGGUUUAUGGAGCCGUACAUCUUUGGGAGCCGCCUGGACCACGACAUCAUCGACCUGGAACAGACAGCCACGCACCUCCAGCUGGCCUUGAACUUCACCGCCCACAUGGCCUACCGCAAGGGCAUCAUCUUGUUCAUAAGCCGCAACCGGCAGUUCUCGUACCUGAUUGAGAACAUGGCCCGUGACUGUGGCGAGUACGCCCACACUCGCUACUUCAAGGGCGGCAUGCUGACCAACGCGCGCCUCCUCUUUGGCCCCACGGUCCGCCUGCCGGACCUCAUCAUCUUCCUGCACACGCUCAACAACAUCUUUGAGCCGCACGUGGCCGUGAGAGACGCAGCCAAGAUGAACAUCCCCACAGUGGGCAUCGUGGACACCAACUGCAACCCCUGCCUCAUCACCUACCCUGUACCCGGCAAUGACGACUCUCCACUGGC
rnacentral:sRNA from 1 species